rnacentral:lncRNA from 1 species
ACAACACCUGACCGGAACAGCUUUAGUAUGGGACUUUGAGAGGACAGAGGAAUGGUCAUACAGACCAUGUCUGACUCCAGCAGGCUUACUGAGGUGUCUACACCAGCAGACAAAGAGUUUGGAGAGGAGCCUGAUCUCCAGCCAAGAGCUCUGGAGGAACCUCAGGCGGCGGGUUCAGAAGACACUGGAAUAUCAGACGUCAUGUUGAGGGCUGAGGAAUAUCAAACGUAUGACUUUACAAGAUUAGAAGACAACAACAUCCAGUCAUGCAUCAGCAACAGGUCAGGUGUGUCAUUCCCUUCAAGCGAGAGAGAGAAAACAUCUACAGCUUGCUGCCUCAGAAAACGUCACAGGAAACACCAAACAGAGAUUAAAGACACGAGGAAAAUGAGGGGGACGUGUAGAAAAGACAGAGCAAGAACCAGAAGAAAUGCUCCAUUACUUUCUGACCAGAAGACCAGCGGCUCCUCAAGAUGCUCCAAACCAAGCACUGAAGAUCAAGACAAGUUCUCCUCGACACCAGAGCAAUUGUCCCGGCCUCAGCAGGUCACUCCAGAUCUCCAUCUGUGGGAUUGUCCUCAAGAUGUUUCCCAUCUAUGCCUUCAAAAGCUGGAGGUCGACUUCCCUUCGACCUUUGAGUCUCGCAGUUUGAGAUCUGACGGUGUGGAACCAAACUUUGACUCUGAGUUUGCAUAUAUCUAUGCUGAGAGCAUCAAAGGAUGUGACUCUACUUGUUGCACGAAUCCAGGAGAAUGUAAUACCCACAAUCCUCCUGUCAAAACUGAUACAAGCACUGAAAGAGACCUUGAAUCUGUCUGGAACAGCUGUGAGGAAGAAUCUGAAGACUCAGAUUGUGAUUUAUAUAUGUUUGCUUGCAGUAUAGCAGCUACUGCAGGUUCCAGGUUGAACGCUGACCGCUUUGGCUCUUUACUAGAUGAUUUUGACUCGACUUGUAUUUAUACAGACUGGGAAAGGAGACCCGGCAGUAAUGAAACCGACCAGGGUUACAGUCCAGCUGAAGCGGAGUGGAGCUCUGACAGUUCAUGUUACACUGCCGACUGUGACUCUUACUGUACCACAGACAGACAAACCAGCAGCUCGGAUUCAGACGGCUGCCGUUUAGAGGCUCUCAGUGACAUAAAAUGUCCUGAAGUGUUUUUGCCAGGAUCUGAAGGUUGCUGUGAUGCAGCUGAAGCCGUCUGCAGAGACACAGUGAGCGAUCCCGAGUCUUUUUGCUCCAGACGGGAUACAGGUGAACUGUGCGGUGUCGUGACUCAAAUGGACCGACAGCAUUUCUCUGAAUUUUUCUGUGAGAUGAUUAAAGAAGUGACGCAGGAGAAAGACACGGAGAAAAAUGAAUGUAAACGAGGGGUUUCUGUUCCACCCUAAGAAGGUGUGUGACUAAAGUCAUUUAUGCAGAUUGACAACAAACAAGAAAUAUAUGUAUAUGUAUAUAUAUAUUAAUAUGUGUAAAUAAAGUGGGCAAAAUAAUAAGAUAUUGCCUGAUAUUGGAUAUUUAAUUGUUCAUGCUAAUUUACCAUAUUUUUACAUUUAGAUAACCUUUGCCAUAUGAUGUUUUAAAUGCUUAUUUUUAAUUUAGACAACCCAUACAGCAAAAAAACAUAUUUUCAAAUAUGUUUAAAUGUUUCAAACUAUGCAAAAAAUAUAGUGCUAAUAUACUGCCCUUGAUGGACUCAUGUU